rnacentral:tRNA from 2 species
CGGAUUAGAACUUGUAGUAAGUUUUGUUAUUUACAUUAAUAAAUUAGUUGUGCGAAUCAACUUAAUCUGA